ACACACAAACACUGGAGAAAACGAGAGAAGGGUCGAGAGAGACCGAGAAGAAAAUAGAAAACAAGAAAGAAAAAUGAGGAAGAAGAAAGGAAGAGGAGAAGAAGAAGAGGAAAUGGAUUUCCAAGCUUGGUGCUCUAUUUCUUCAAUUUCUCAUUUGAUUUUGAGAGGAAAGUGUAAGUAUAUUGAAUUAAGUUUUCUUUUAGGGUUUAUGAAAUUUUUGGUUAUAUUCAAAGUAGCUAGAAUUAGAGGUUAUUGACAUUUAUUUGAGGUAUUAAACAUGAGUAUGUUAAAGAAAUAUAUAUUGAAAGAUUGGUGUUGGAAAAAAGAAAAGAAAAGGGGGGAAACUUUGGAAAUGAGUUUAUGAAAUAGUACUUAUUUUUUGAUUUUCAUGGGAUUAUAUGAUGUUAAGCACUUAAAUUAAGGAAUUAGGGUUGAUUUCUCCAUUUUUAAGUAAUAACUAUAAGCAAUUUUUGGACAAAUCCUACACAGGUGCUGUUGUUGAAAUCCUGCCCAGAAAAGUGCUAGUUUUGUCAAUGUUUUAGGUGACAAAUUUUAAUAUAUAGACAUUGGUGCUAGUUUUCAACAUUCCGGAAUUAUAGCGCUAGUUUUGUCAAUCAUCUAAUUUUCGUGGAUUUUUAGUAUUGGAACCAAAUUAAGUGUUAAAUAUUUGGGGUUUUGUUAUUAAAAUAAUUUAUAUAAAGGAGUAUAUGUUGUUAGUGACCUUACUUGGGAUUACGAGGUUGGAAAUAAAAUAUAUAAAGUUUCCAUUAGUAAAUUAUUAUUUCUAAUGAUAGGAAAAUACUCAAGGCAUCUUGUAAAGGGAUAUGAUUUAUUGUAGCGAGAGCGCGAUAUCAUACUUAGUAUUUGAAAAUGAGGGGACGAGAAGAAUGAAACCAUGAUCGACUAUGACUUGGUGAGUGGAUAUAUAACUCAUUUUUCAGAAAUUAAUAUUUAUUAAAUUUAUGUUGGAAUAGAAAAUUUAUUAUUUCAUACAAUUGAUUUGACAGCAUGAUAUUUAGAAGAAAGUGAAUUUAUAAUCAGUUGUUUUUAAAGUUAAAUUCAAUUUAAUUAAAUCAUUUGAUUAGCAAGUUAUAUGAAUAUUAAAUAUUUCAACAUAUUUAAAGUUAUUUUUAAAACCAUCAGAAAAUACCCGGUGAUUUUACCCUAGUCUGCACUGGUAUGAAUGUGUUUCCACAGUGUAUGACUAGUUAUGGUGAUUUUACCCGCUCUGCACUAUUGUGAACGUGUUUCCAUAGUGUAUGACCAACUUAUCAAAUUAUCAGAGGUCUUUGGGACCCACUCUUGUACACACAUAGGCUUUGGCCAUGUACUAGUGUGAUUAGCCUUUGAGGUAGCUUUGCGUACGUAUGACCAAAUUAUCAAAUUUGAGUGGUUUUGCCUUGUACAUCGAGAUUACUCUAUACAUGAGUAAAGCUAUCCAUUAGCUAACUUUUUGGUGUGAUUUUUCUGUAUUUAUACAGCUUAUUAGAUUUCAGAUUAUAGAAUUUGGUUAAUUCAAUUUUUAGAGUAAAGCUUUCAGCUUAUAGUAUUAAGCAGUAGCAAUAUUUCACAGAUGUUCACGGAUAUCAUAUUAAUUAUAUUCGUUACAUUUUACAAUUACAUAUGUAGAAUGAAGAACAAAAAAUUUUAUGAUGUAUUCAUGUUUGAUUUUAAAAGUGUUUUCAAAUUUCAGAAUUUCUAGAAGUUUUAGUAGUGCAAAAAUUUUCAGAAAAUAUACACAAAUGAUAAAAGUUUACUUAUUUGCAAAUUAUCCAUUCAAUGGGUUUUAAGCUCAUAUAUUUUUUACCUUUUUCUUUAUCAUACGGAUAGUAGUCAAAUCGAGCAGUUUUGAAGCCUGUCAAACCACCAAAUUGAGUCAUGCGUCAUAGGUUGUAUGACAUCCUUUAUUAAAUUAUACAUUAUGUAUUCUUUUGGAAUACAUGUAGAUUACAUCAGAAAAGUUCAUUAUGGGCUCUUUAGAUAAUUGAUAUCUUUAGUAUAUUUGAGAAUUGUUGGUUGUAAAGCAAG
rnacentral:lncRNA from 1 species